rnacentral:rRNA from 1 species
AGAAUCAACGCUGGCGGCGUGCCUAACACAUGCAAGUCGAACGAGAAAGUGGAGCAAUCCAUUAGUAAAGUGGCGCACGGGUGAGUAACACGUGACUAACCUACCCUUGAGUGGGGGAUAACCUAGAGAAAUCUGGGCUAAUACCGCAUAAUACCUUCGGGUCAAAGGAGCAAUUCGCUUAAGGAGGGGGUCGCGGCCGAUUAGUUAGUUGGCGGGGUAAUGGCCCACCAAGACUAUGAUCGGUAUCCGGCCUGAGAGGGCGCACGGACACACUGGAACUGAAACACGGUCCAGACUCCUACGGGAGGCAGCAGUGGGGAAUUUGCGCAAUGGGGGAAACCCUGACGCAGCAACGCCGCGUGGAGGAUGAAGCCCCGUUGGGGCGUAAACUCCUUUCGAUCGGGACGAUAAUGACGGUACCGAGAGAAGAACGCCCCGGCUAACUUCGUGCCAGCAGCCGC